CCUACGGGGGGCAGCAGUGGGGAAUAUUGCACAAUGGGGGAAACCCUGAUGCAGCGACGCCGCGUGAGUGAAGAAGUAUUUCGGUAUGUAAAGCUCUAUCAGCAGGGAAGAAGAAAGACGGUACCUGACUAAGAAGCCCCGGCUAACUACGUGCCAGCAGCCGCGGUAAUACGUAGGGGGCAAGCGUUAUCCGGAUUUACUGGGUGUAAAGGGAGCGUAGACGGCUGUGCAAGUCUGAAGUGAAAGCCCAGGGCGCAACCCUGGGACUGCUUUGGAAACUGUGGAGCUAGAGUGCUGGAGAGGUAAGUGGAAUUCCUAGUGUAGCGGUGAAAUGCGUAGAUAUUAGGAGGAACACCAGUGGCGAAGGCGGCCGCCUGGCCUGUUGCUGACGCUGAGGCACGAAAGCGUGGGGAGCAAAUAGGAUUAGAUACCCGGGUAGUC
rnacentral:rRNA from 1 species